rnacentral:rRNA from 1 species
GGACCCGCACAAGUAGUGGAGCAUGUGGUUUAAUUCGAAGAUACGCGCAGAACCUUACCAACACUUGACAUGUUCGUCGCGACUUUAAGAGAUUAAAGUUUUCGGUUCGGCCGGACGAAACACAGGUGCUGCAUGGCUGUCGUCAGCUCGUGUCGUGAGAUGUUGGUUAAGUCCCGCAACGAGCGCAACCCUCACUUUUAGUUGCCAUCAUUAAGUUGGGCACUCUGAAAGAACUGCCAGUGAUAAGCUGGAGGAAGGUGGGGAUGACGUCAAGUCCUCAUGGCCCUUACGUGUUGGGCUACACACGUGCUACAAUGGCUAGGACAGACGCCGAAACCCGCGAGGGGGAGCCAA